rfam:Aedes aegypti strain Liverpool supercont1.6 genomic scaffold, whole genome shotgun sequence.
CAAACGGCCCUUUUCAGGGCCAUGGUGACCAUUCAGUGGAAAAGAGU